rnacentral:RNase_P_RNA from 21 species
GAAGCGCGCCAGACCGCCGCUGGUGCAAUCUGGGAAACCAGGCACUGGAGGAACGUCCGGACUGCACAGGACAGCGUAGCAGCUAACGGCUGCCCACCGCGAGGUGAGGAUCAGAGCAACAGAGACGAGUCGGGGGGCGGCAACGCGCCCCGGGUGAAACGGGCAAUCUCUACGCGCAGCAAUACCAAGUAGGCCAGCGUCGAUGUGGUUCCGCAGAGCUGGCGGGUAGGUAGCACCGAGCCGUGGUGGCGACACCCGGCCCAGAUCGAUGGCGGUCACGCUGCGGGUCACCGCAGCGCACAGAAUCCGGCUUAUCGGCGCGCUUCACAC